GACGAACGCUGGCGGCGUGCUUAACACAUGCAAGUCGAACGAGAAUCUAUGGAUCGAGGAUUCGUCCAAGUGAAGUAGAGGACAGUGGCGGACGGGUGAGUAACGCGUGAGGAACCUGCCUUGGAGUGGGGAAUAACACAGUGAAAUUGUGCUAAUACCGCAUAAUGCAGUUGGGUCGCAUGACUCUGACUGCCAAAGAUUUAUCGCUCUGAGAUGGCCUCGCGUCUGAUUAGCUAGUUGGUGGGGUAACGGCCCACCAAGGCGGCGAUCAGUAGCCGGACUGAGAGGUUGGCCGGCCACAUUGGGGACUGAGACACGGCCCAGACUCCUACGGGAGGCAGCAGUGGGGAAUAUUGGGCAAUGGGCGCAAGCCUGACCCAGCAACGCCGCGU
rnacentral:rRNA from 1 species